CCUACGGGAGGCAGCAGUAGGGAAUUUUCGUCAAUGGGCGCAAGCCUGAACGAGCAAUGCCGCGUGAACGAGGAAGGUCUUCGGAUCGUAAAGUUCUGUUGAAGGGGAAAAAGAGCGGAGAGAGGAAAUGGUCUCCGAUUGAUAUUACCCUUCGAGGAAGUCACGGCUAACUACGUGCCAGCAGCCGCGGUAAUACGUAGGUGGCGAGCGUUAUCCGGAGUGAUUGGGCGUAAAGGGUGCGUAGGCGGCCUUCUAAGUCUGGCGUGAAAGGUACCGGCUCAACCGGUAAAGGCUCUGGAAACUGGCGGGCUAGAGAGCAGGAGAGGGCGGUGGAACUCCAUGUGUAGCGGUAAAAUGCGUAGAUAUAUGGAAGAACACCAGUGGCGAAGGCGGCCGCCUGGCCUGUUGACUGACGCUGAGGCACGAAAGCGUGGGGAGCAAAUAGGAUUAGAUACCCCAGUAGUC
rnacentral:rRNA from 1 species